rnacentral:rRNA from 1 species
UGGGGGAUAUUGGUCAAUGGAGGAAACUCUGAACCAGCGACGCCGCGUGAGGGAAGAAGGUCUUCGGAUUGUAAACCUUUGUUGACAGGGACGAUACAAGACGGUACCUGUCGAGGAAGCCACGGCUAACUACGUGCCAGCAGCCGCGGUAAUACGUAGGUGGCGAGCGUUAUCCGGAUUUAUUGGGUUUAAAGGGUGCGCAGGCGGCGCGCCAAGUCAGCGGUCAAAGUUCCGGGCUCAACCCGGUGUCGCCGUUGAAACUGGCGUGCUCGAGUGCGUGCGAGGAAGGCGGAAUGCGUUGUGUAGCGGUGAAAUGCAUAGAUAUGACGCAGAACUCCGAUUGCGAAGGCAGCUUUCCAGCGCGCUACUGACGCUGAGGCACGAAAGCGUGGGGAUCGAACAGGGAUUAGAUACCCUGGGUAGU